rnacentral:rRNA from 1 species
UACGGAGGGUGCAAGCGUUGUCCGGAAUCACUGGGCGUAAAGGGCGCGUAGGCGGCUCAUGAAGGCUGUGGUGAAAGUCCGGGGCUCAACCUCGGAUCGGCCGUGGCGACUCGUGGGCUGGAGCACUGUAGAGGCGGGUGGAAUUCCGGGUGUAGCGGUGGAAUGCGUAGAGAUCCGGCAGAAGACCGGUGGCGAAGGCGGCCAGCUGGGCAGUGACUGACACUGAGGCGCGACAGCGUGGGGAGCAAACAGG